rnacentral:rRNA from 1 species
GUGAGGUAACGGCCCACCAAGGCUACGACGGGUAGCAGGCCUGAGAGGGUGGCCUGUCACACUGGGACUGAGACACUGCCCAGACUCCUACGGGAGGCUGCAGUCGAGAAUCUUCCGCAAUGGGCGCAAGCCUGACGGAGCGACGCCGCGUGGAGGACGAAGGCCCUUGGGUUGUAAACUCCUGUCACGGAUUAUGAAUGGGUAAUGGUUAACAGCCAUUGCAUUGACGUAAGUCCGAGAGGAAGCACCGGCUAACUCUGUGCCAGCAGCCGCGGUAAUACAGAGGGUGCAAACGUUGUUCGGAAUUACUGGGCAUAAAGCGCGCGUAGGCGGUCUGUUAAGUGUGAAGUGAAAUCCCACGGCUCACCCGUGGAACUGCUUUGCAUACUGGCAGACUCGAGGAUGGUAGGGGAGAGCGGAACUCUUGGUGGAGCGGUGAAAUGCGUAGAUAUCAAGAGGAACACCGGUGGCGAAGGCGGCUCUCUGGUCCAUUACUGACGCUGAGGUGCGAAAGCCAGGGUAGCGAACAGGAUUAGAUACCCCGGUAGUCCUGGCCGUAAACGAUGGGCACUAACUAGGGGUCUCCCUGUGGGAUCCCUGGUGAAGCAAAUGUGAUGAGUG